AAUAAUUUUAGAGACAAAAUCCUUUCUAUUUAAAUCAAUUUUACAAUUUAGAAUGAAUUCGAGAGGCUCCAAACUAGAACCAAACUAAAUCAGACUUUCAAAAUCGCGUUCUGUUAAUUCCAUCUAAUUCCUCGCAACAUUGUUGCUAGCUUUUCUCACAAUCGCUUAGUGAACGCGCUUUCCUUGCGUCGAGAACAAUCCUCAAACAACGCACAAUUCAAAACCACUUAGGUUAUAGUCACUCAUGGAUGAUGAACAUGAACCAUUUUCAGCACUUCCAUGGCUUUGGGUAACUGAAGCCCUAGCAGGUUUCAAAGAAAUCCCCUUAUCCACUUUACAAGGUUUGAUUAAUGAAGCACCUGUAAGGCGUGAUGAUUUUUGUGAAAAUACAAAGCAAUUGGUUGCUUUGAAGUGUUUGGAGGAACUUUAUGCUUCGUUUUCUUCUUCAACAUUGGAUUCUACAGUUGAAAUUGAUUCUUCGCGAACUUGUGAAGAUGUUCUUCAAGAAAUAUUGCGUGGGGUGCCUUCAUCAAAUCUGAAAAUUGCUGGAGCAGAGCUAUUGAAAUGGGAUGUUAACCCAUUUAUCACACACAAAAGAGCUGACAAUGUGAAAUGUCACUUAGAGAAGCUGAAAGAAUCAAUAUUGGAAGGUACACUGCCACUUACUGAUCACUUAAAAGAGAGGAGUGGAUUAUUCCAAACGAAUCGGCCUCAUACAGUAUGUGUGAAUGAUGGUAAAAGCAAUAAUCAUUCAGUGAAGGAUGUUGGGAACUCCACUUAUGCAGAAGACAUGGGAGCAAAAGAAAACUCAGUGUCCUUAAUAUUAGAGGAUGGCAACAAAUCUUCGAAAGAAGAUUUACCUAAUAAAAAACGUUUGUCCUCUAAGAGGAAUAGGGUUUACUCGGCUGAUGAGCAUUUAACAAGUUGCUUUAAUGAAAAGCAGGCUUGUAUAAAUGAACGUGAUGAACUCUUAAGUAAAAAAAGGAUUAAACGUAGUGCAUUGACAAAUUUUGAUUCCAAGAAAGAAAAGCAAGUUUCUCGUCUUGAAAAGGAAGUGUCAGAAAACUCGACUGAAAAUGUUCUAAUUUCUGAGAAUGUAGGGCAUCAAACCAAAAAGAAAAACAGGAAAGCUCUGAGUGAUGGAUCCUUAGAGGCUAGUCAUAAUAGGUGCUUUGCUUCAAAUUUGUGUCUGUCAAGUGGUCAAAAUGAAGCCUUUCAUGCUGAAUCAGAUAUUGCCUUUAAGGCAACUUUGACGCCUCAGCAGAAAACUUCUGGAGGUAAACCCCUGUCUGAACAUGAACCAGAUUUGCAACUUAAAGAUUUAAAUUGUUCCCAGCAGACUGCUAGUAGUGUUAAAGCUCAAGAUGAUACUGAUAAUGGCUGUGGGAUAGAGAUACCAGGUGAUACAGUUGCGUACCAAGGUGAAAAGAUUAAUCUCGUAAUGAAAAAGCACAAAAAGAGAAGUCUUGAUACAAAGUGUAGCGAAGGUGGUCAAUUACUGGUCUGUGAAGCGGUUACUGGCCCAUUAUUGGUUCCUGAAAGUUGUAUUGGUAUGACGACCAACAUUUAUCCUCAGCAUACAUCUGGAGUUGAUCCUUGCCAUAAAUUUAUAGAUGAAACUAAUGAUACUGUAGAUGUUGAACCCAUUCGAACAUAUGAUGGUAAUGCAAAUAAAAUUCAGCAUAUGACUAAUCAAUCUCAAACCCAGCAGCAGGAGCCAAAUGUUGCAUCUUCAAAUGCCUCUCGGAAGCCAGUUGCUAGUGACAAAGCUGUAGUUGAUACUGUCAAUGAUUGUGGAGCAGAGUUAUCAAAUGAUAGUGAUGAGCAUCACAACGAAAAGAUUGAUCUUGGAGCCAAAAAAGAUGAAUUCGUGAACUCCCAGCACACUUUUGGUCAAGAUUUGCCAGCAAUGACUGAAUCGACCAGACAAAAUCUUUGCAUGAAGUGCAAUAAAACUGGACAAUUAUUGGUUUGUAAAACUACCACUUGUUCUUUGACGGUGCAUAAAAACUGCCUGGGUGCAUCUGCUCAGUUGGAUGCUAAGGGAAACUUUUUCUGCCCAUUUUGUGCUUAUUCUAACACUAUUUCAGAAUAUCUUGAAGCCAAGAAAAUAGCUUCAUUGGCAAGGAAAGAAUUAGCUAUCUUCAUUACUAAGGGUAUAAGAAAAGAAGCUGUAGAACGUGUUCAUAAAUCAGGUAGACAAGAAUGUACAUUUUCAAGGAAGAGUUAUAAGUGCGAGCAUACUCCGUUAACAGUGAAUGAAGAAAAUAGAGAAGAUCAUGCUGGUGAGCAUGCAAAUAAAGUUGGUAAUUUUCCUUUUGAAAGAAGUCAGCAACAAGUUCCUAUUUUAGCAGUUCACUCGUCAUCCUUCAGAGAAAAGGAAAAUGUAAAAAAUGGGUUAGCAGGUGAUGUAAGAGAAGAGGAUGACUGUGAAAUGCUGAAUGCAAAGAGCUUAACUGAUGAAAGAGUUGAAGACAGAGAAAUGGAAACUGAUCAUGUAGGUGGACAUGGCAAUGAAAAGAUUUCUUGUAAGAAGCUAAAGAUUGUGUGUGCUAAUGAAAGUAAUGAAGAAGUUCUACAGAAUAUGGCAGAGCACAGUAUGGAUGGAACAGUAGAGCCAGUUUGGGCUCACAAUACUGUAAAGGAUGAACUUUCUAAAGAUGAAUCCAAGAAGCGUAUUAUUUCUAGAUACUCCAUGAGAUUUCGUAUGCAUGAAGUUCAGAACAAAAUCAAAGAAAGCCCUCAGAUAAGACGGAAAAAAAUCCCAUGGACAGUUGAGGAGGAAGAGCUGAUACAGGAAGGGGUCCAGAAGUUUGGCUCCCGCGACUCAAAACUACCAUGGAAGAAAAUUUUGGCAUUCGGUUCUCACUUGUUUGAGAAGAAUGACAGACUUCGUACUCCACAAGAUUUAAAGGAUAAAUGGAAAAACAUGUGCAAAGCACACUCAAAAUUGAAAUAAAAAUCUUUAUUGGAAGGCGAUUUCAUAUUAUUCAGGCAAGUCGGACUGCCUCAGUUCCCCGUUAUAUUCUUAUUGGUUGCAAAGAGGUUGAGAGUUACAAAAAUUUGGCUAGUGGUUCAGCUUGAUCCAUAUACUAACAUUGCAACUGAUAAAAGAGAAUCGUGGAAGUGAUGUUAACAUGCCAUAUUUAUAAAAAGUUAAAUAGCUUGACCAUUUGAUUGGUGUAAAUAUUCAUAGAACUGGACCUUUUUGUAAAGGUAUCAGAGAAUAGUGGAAUCUCGAUCAAAUCUAUUUUCGGUUUGUUUUA